GUUAAUUGCCGCUAAAUCCACGAGAAAUUCUCGAAUUCCGGAAAAAUAACACGACAUAUAAAAUUGGAACGUAAAUUCAUCACCGGUGAAAUUAAUUUGAUUUUUCCCACGGCGAGCUAUUUCAGCCAACUUAACGCUGAGGUGGCAACCGUGAGUCCAGCGUGGCUCUGCCGGACAGUGAAUAAGAACGUCGUCGUUUCAUUAGGCCUAUUACUGCAUCAUUUUGUUCAAUACAACAUCGUUUCAACAUAAAAAAAAUUCAAGUUAAAAUAAAAUAAAAUCAAAUUAAAAACCAAACUUCUUUUCACCUUCAUUAUCACUCUUAUCUCUCGUCCCACUCAUGGGCUCCCUUUAAUUCCAUCUCUUUGAAUCUGCCCCACCACCUCCUUCUCCGGCGAAUCCGCCAUCCAUCGCAGCCAACUCAUCCCUCAGCCUCUCUCCUUCUCUCCCUCAUCUCUCGCUUCUACCGGUCAGACAACCAUCUGAUAGAAAUCGGCACUGCUGAGCUUCCUCUGUUCUUUCCUUGCCAGCAGUCGCCACCACCACCGCCUCCUCUGUUCUCUCCUUGCCAGCGGUCGCCACCCUUAUUUCGCCUUGUUUACCGCCACCCCCGGCCCGUAGCAGCGCCGCCUCACCACCGCCCUCCUCCAACCCCUAAGAUCUUUGAACCCUGGCCUCCCACUCUUCUCCUUCUCCGCCGCGCCUCAAUUCCCCUCCACGAUCCAUGGCAUCGGUGGCACCUUCGAUUAGGAGUCACCGCUCUUUGUCGUAUUUCGUCGCCGGUUUUUCAAUUCUCAACCCUAAUUUGGGCCAGGCGCAACCCCAGUUGCAGCCGCCGUGCCGGUCUACACAUCAACCAAAACGACUUAUGCGACGUCGUUCUCAGUGCCGGGGCCACCGACGCCCCAGACCAGCCCCCAGCUCAUGCCUACAAAGGAUUCCUCCUCCCCCUCUCCCCCAAAUCGUCAAUCGUCCCCCUCAAAUUGGCCCCCAAAAUAGCGGUGCUUAGCAG
rnacentral:lncRNA from 1 species